rnacentral:misc_RNA from 1 species
AUUCGUAUGAUUAUAAACUCGCGGUUGCUUACGGCAUGGCGUUAGCCAAGUCGUGUGUCAUCGUGUGUUGCGGAUGAAAAGUGUAGUAUAUUUAUAACGCUUUUAUUUUACAUGUUGUAUAUUAAUGAAAAACUUUUUAUACAAAUUUUAACGACAGAUUGUUCAAGAUGAACAAGCGCCGUAGAACAUCUUCAGUUGCAAGUCGAGGCACAGAAGAUGAUGCUGAUGAUAUACCACCUGAACCAACAAAAAGACGAAAAAAAUUAGAUCCUAGUGACUUGUGCCAACAAUUAUAUGAUGUACUACGUAAUCAAAAAAGAGAAGAUGGAACAUUAUUAUGUGAUGCAUUUAUACGUGUGCCUAAACGUAGACAAGAACCAGGUUAUUAUGAUGUUGUAACAAAUCCUAUAGAUCUAUUAAAAGUUCAACAAAAGCUAAGAACAGAUGAAUAUAGGGAUAUGGAUGAUUUAGCAGCUGAUAUUCAACUCAUGGUUAACAAUGCAAAAGCCUUUUAUAUGCGUACAUCUCCUGAAUAUAAAGAUGCUACUGAACUUUGGGAAUUAUGCAUAAAUACAAAAAAUCGUAUUAUGGAAGAAUACGAAGAUUCAGAACCUAAAGGAAAACUUAUUUUAAAAGUGGGACGAUUAGCUCGGAAAGCUACAACAAAACAAGAAGAUGCAGAAGAUACAUCAGAAAGUUCUACAAAUCCUGAUGAAGAAACAAUGCAACAAUUUGAAGAUUUAUUUGCAGCAAUUAUGACAGCAACAGAUCCAGCUGACAAUAAUAGACCAUUACAUACAAUGUUUCAACUUAAGCCAUCUAAAAAAUUAUAUCCAGAAUAUUAUGAUGUAAUUGAAACACCAGUAGAUUUAAAAACAGUUGCAAGAAAAAUUCAAGAAGGAGUCUAUAAUAGCAUUACAGAUAUGGAAAAAGAUUUAAUGUUAAUGUGCCGUAAUGCUUGCCAAUUUAAUGAGCCUGGUUCUCAAAUUUACAAAGAUGCAAAACUUCUAAAAAAAAUUAUUACUGCAGCAGCAAGAAAACAAGAUAUUGGAUUAAGCAGUGCAGUUCCAAAAAUUGCAACAACUGCACCAUCAACACGAAGUAAAAGAGGAAGUCGCACUAUGGCACAAUCUUUAAUAGCUCAAACUGCAACAUUGCCAGAUGAAGAUGAAGAAAGUGAUGAUGAAGAAGAAGAACCUGCAGAAACUGAAGAAGCUGAUAACCCACAAUGGCAAUUAUUUCAGACUAUUAGAACAGCACCUAAUAAUCAAGGAGUUAGAAUGAGCGAAUAUUUUUGGAAACUACCAUCAAAAAGAUUAUAUCCUGAUUACUAUAAAACGAUUAAAAAUCCUAUUUCUCUAUUACAAAUUCGUACUAAGAUAAAGAAAGGUGAAUAUGGUACUGUAAGUGAAGUAGCUGGUGAUAUGAAUAUAAUGUUUGAAAAUGCAAAAAAAUAUAAUAUUCAUACAUCUAGACUUUAUAAGUGUGCUGUGAAAUUACAAAAAAUUAUGCAAGAAAAAGUACAGGAACUAUUAGAAUUUGAUCAGGAUUCAGACUCGGAUAGUGAAUUUGAAAAUAGCUCUCAUCAACCUAAACUUAUUAAACGUGCUUCAAAUCUCUUAACACGUGGAAAAUAUAAAGACAAUAUACCAUUGAAAAAAAGAUUGUAUGCACUAGUUAAAUGUGUUAUAGAAUACGUUUGUGAAGAUGGUCGACAACCAAUGUUAAUGUUUAUGGAGAAACCUUCUAAAAAGUUAUAUCCAGAUUAUUAUCAAGUAAUAGCAGAACCAAUUGAUAUGUUAGCUAUUGAAGCUAAUAUUAAAGCAGAAAAAUAUCAAAGUGAAAAUGAAUUAAUACAAGAUUUUAAGUUAAUGUUUAAUAAUUGUCGUCAAUAUAAUGAAGAAGGCUCUUUAAUAUAUGAAGAUGCAAAUACUCUUGAAAGAGUUUUAAUGGAUAAAGUAAAAGAAUUAGGUCCUUUACCUGAAACAGGUAAACCUACCAAAUCAAGUGCAUCUACUCCUACUAGAAAUGUUGGGAGACCUAAAAAAGUUGUACCAUUACAUUUACAAAAAUUGAAAACUAUGUAUGAUACUAUAAAAGAUUAUCAUGAUGGAAAAGGAAGACAAUUAUCUUUAAUUUUUAUGAAAUUACCAAAUAAAAAUGAAUAUCCUGAUUAUUAUGAAGUUAUUAAGCAACCAAUGAAUAUGGAGAAAAUAGCGUCCACUUUAAAAAAUAAUGGAUAUGAAAAUUUGGAUGAACUUGUAUCAGAUUUUAUACUAAUGUUUGAUAAUGCUUGCAAGUAUAAUGAACCCGAUUCACAAAUAUAUAAGGAUGCUUUAAUUUUACAAAGAUUAGUUCUCCAAACAAAAUUACAAUUAAGUGAAGAUGAAGAAAGUGUACCAGAUGUAUCAGCCGCAAUUCAAGAAAUAUUAGCAACAAUUUUUACUGCUCUUUAUAAUCAUCAAGAUGAAGAAGGUAGAUGUUAUUCAGAUUCAAUGGCAGAACUUCCAGAACAUGAUAUCAUUGAUGGGAAAAAAAUACGAGGAUUAUCAUUAGAUUUAAUUAAAAGAAGAUUAGAUCGUGGAGUAUAUAAACGAUUGGAUCGUUUUCAAGAAGAUGUAUUCACAUGUUUAGAAAGAGCUAGAAGAUUAUCACGUACAGAUUCGCAACCUUUUGAAGAUAGUGUAGAAUUACAAGCAUUUUUUUUACGUACUCGUGAUGAAGUAACUCGAGGAGGAGAUUUAUUACAUUCACCAGCUCUUAAUUAUACACUUCUUGAUCUUUCUGCUCAAGUUGCAGAAUUAAAACGUGUGAAAUUACAACAAGAAUUAUCAUUACCUAAUGAAGAUGAAAGUUGUGAUGGAAAUGAAACAAAAGAUUCUGAAACAAAUACUAAUACAGAAGGAAGUAAUAGUGAUAAUGGUGGAUCUAUGAGUUUUAAUCAAGAAAUAUAUAGAGCUGGAGAUUUUGCAUAUAUAGAACCUACAGAACGAGGCAUGGAAUAUAGUGUAGUUCUUAUAGAACGUUUAUGGACAAAUGCAGAAGGUCAACAAAUGUUAUAUGGCAAUUUAUUUUAUAGACCAAGUGAAACUUACCAUGUAGCAUCUAGGAAAUUUCUUGAUAAGGAAUUAUUUAAAAGUGAUGCUCAUGUAGCUAUACCUUUGGCUAAAGUAGCUGGAAGAUGUUGUGUUUUAAGUGUAAAGGAUUAUUUUAGAAUGCAACCUGAAGGUUUCUUAGAAAAAGAUGUUUAUGUAUGUGAAUCACGAUACUCUACAAAAGCAAGAGCUUUUAAAAAAAUCAAAGUCUGGAAUUUUGAUCCAGAUCAUUUAAAAUUAAUUUCAAGAGAUAAACCAUUAGAACCAAAGCGAGUAAUAUCAGUAUAUAAAGAAAGAUUAGAAAAGCAUAAAGAAGAAAUUGCUGAAUUAGAAGAAGGAGAAAAAUUAACAGAAAAAGAAAGACCUAAUGUAAUAUUGUAUAACUCAGAUGAUACAGAAAAUACUUAUUACGAGCAAUAUAAUACAUGUGCAGGUUCUGUAAAAACUGGAGACUUUGUUUAUGUUGCAACAGAUGGAGGUAGACAACAAAUUGCGCAAAUUGAUGCUAUAUGGUCAACAAAAGAUGGAAAAUGUUAUUUUAAGGGCCCAUGGCUAUUGAUGCCUGCAGAAGUGCCACAUACUCCUACUAAGUUAUUUUAUAAACAAGAAUUAUUUCUAUCUACAGUUGAUGGCACUCAUCCUAUUGUGGCUAUUGUUGGAAAAUGUGCUGUUCUUGACUAUGGAGAAUAUAUUUGUAGUCGACCGACAGAAAUUCCAGAAGAUGAUGUAUAUAUUUGUGAAUCAUUAUAUGAUGAAAGUAAAAGUCUUAUGAAAAAACUUGGUCAAGAAGGUCUAAAAAAAUUUAAUCAUAAUUCAGCAGUAACUGAAGAUGAAAUUUAUUUCUUCCGAAGACCUAUUAACCCAGCUAAGGUUCCGGGCGAUGUGGCUCAAACGCAAAAUCAAGUCAAGUCUGUUACUUCUAGUUCAACUCAAUUUGAAAUGGAAGCAUCACCAUUGUUACCGAAGCUGGAACCCGAUGUACUAGGCAUGGGAGUAGGAUUAGGAGUGGGAGUAGGAGUAGGAGUUGGGGAGGACAGCAUGGACGCUGGUGGUCCACCGUCCGUUGGAUCUGCAGAAGCUCAACCGGUGCUCUCCAAUACUCAAACACCUGUAUCGACUAAAAAGAAAACGGCGGGUAAGAAAUUAGUUACGGGCUAUAUUUUAUAUUCGAGUAAAAUGCGAACACAGAUUACACAAAACAAUCCUGAAUCAUCCUUUGGGGAGAUUAGCAGAAUUGUUGGCAAUGAGUGGAGGAAAUUGCCAGCAGGAGAAAAACAAGCUUGGGAAGAAAGAGCAAUUAAAAUGAAUGAAGAUGGAGGACAACUUAAAGGAAAUAAUGUUUCAGUAGGCACUAAUGCUUUGCAAGAUGUAGUUUAUGAAUGUUGUUGGGAUAAUUGUGAUUGGCAAUUUGAAGAUAUGACUGAUUGUAUUGAUCAUUGUAUUGCAGAACAAAAUGGGCAUGUUCAAUCAUCUUUUAUUAAUGCUGCAAGCGAUGUGGAAUUUCAAUGUCAAUGGCGUGGUUGUGGCCGUACAAAAAAAUCUGUACCUCCUUUUCCAAGUGUACAAAGACUCGCAAGGCAUGUUAAGGAAGUACAUAUCCUUAAAUCAAAUGGACGUAUAAUACCUCCUUCGGAAAGAAGCAAGUAUGAUGUCAAAGUGCUGUAUAAUAAACUAUAAUAAUACUAUAUUAACCGGCUAUGGUUUAGCUUCGUUUACCGUUGAAAUUAUAUGGCAUCAAAAGGUCCAACGGUAUUGCCACCUAUGGAAACAGAAACAUCGGCAGCUGCGACACAAACAAGCAAUAUUCCUAUUGCCAAACAACCAGAACCUAUGUUUGUCGCUGUUCCUCCACGACCAAGUCGAGUUUUACAUUCAGAUGCCUAUUUACGGUAUAUUGAAGCAUUAAAUGUAGAAAAUCGGUACAUAUCAAAUUGGGACAAACAAAUGAAUGCUAAUCCUGAUAAUACACAAAUUCCUGAUGUAACGAAAUUGCCAGCUGAAUGGUUAGGCAAUGGUGUAGGCAACCACGGAAAUGUGGUAAAUGCUUUAUGGACGCUCAGGAAUAUGAUGAUGCGAGAUGUGUUAGCCAUUAAUAAAACUUUAUAGUUUAUAAUUCGUUAAGACUUAUAAUCUUUACUAUUCGAUGCUACCUUAAAACUACAAUUUUCAGGUCCGUCGAUGCUAGAUGAAAGACUGAAGAUUUAUUGUUUUGAAUGAGUAUAUUUAUAUUUUUAGAUUUUUUUUUAUUUUACAAUUCUAAUUAGUACUUCAAAUAUAACUUAAUUAUAAUACAUAUUUUUAGUCAUUUUCAAUUUGUAAUAAGAGAUAAUUAAAAGAUUUUCUUAUCAUAAGAUUUUCAAUAACAAAUAUAAGAUCUGCAAUAUAUUUAUCAGAAAUAACAGAUUAGUAAAACAUUAAUUUCUUCAUUAAAUAAAAUACAUAUUAUAAGCAUUAUUUUCGAUACGUCUAUGGAUCUGUUAGGAGUAGGACAAAAAUAUUACACUGUAAGAAUCAUCACUUUGUAAAUAUUUCGCUAUUUUUAAUUUUAACUUUUCAUAACGAAAAUUUUGUAUUUUGUAUCACGCAUCAUGAAAGUGUGACUUGAAAUUUCUUGUAUUCAUACUGUAAAAUGAAACUGUACUGUAAAUAUUAAAUAAUGCACUUCAAAAAACAAUUUAAUAUAAAUAAUA